rnacentral:rRNA from 1 species
AGUGAACGCUGGCGGUAGGCCUAACACAUGCAAGUCGAACGGCAGCACAGUAAGAGCUUGCUCUUACGGGUGGCGAGUGGCGGACGGGUGAGGAAUACAUCGGAAUCUACUUUUUCGUGGGGGAUAACGUAGGGAAACUUACGCUAAUACCGCAUACGACCUACGGGUGAAAGCAGGGGAUCUUCGGACCUUGCGCGAUUGAAUGAGCCGAUGUCGGAUUAGCUAGUUGGCGGGGUAAAGGCCCACCAAGGCGACGAUCCGUAGCUGGUCUGAGAGGAUGAUCAGCCACACUGGAACUGAGACACGGUCCAGACUCCUACGGGAGGCAGCGAUGGGGAAUAUUGGACAAUGGGCGCAAGCCUGAUCCAGCCAUACCGCGUGGGUGAAGAAGGCCUUCGGGUUGUAAAGCCCUUUUGUUGGGAAAGAAAAGCAGCAGGUUAAUACCCCGCUGUUCUGACGGUACCCAAAGAGUAAGCACCGGCUAACUUCGUG